rnacentral:lncRNA from 1 species
AGCAUGCUGUCCUCCCGUGUAAAGUGGGUAUGAUGCUCCUGUUUGCUGAAAAGGUCAUAAAUUAAACAAGGGGCAAAGGAGUGUAAGAGUGGAAAGUAAGCACCCAUGUGCGCUUCCUUCCUCAAGAAGGUCACCAUACAUAAAUUAUACAGAAUGCACACAAAUGUCCCAUAAAGUCUGGGAACAGUUUGCCUCCCUGCUGAAAAACAACAUGUGAGAAGAAACUGCUCUCUUUCUACUUCAGCUGUUGGAGGAUUUUCUGCUUAGAAUUUUGAUCAUGAGAAGGGCUGAGGACAAAAGCCAACUCCAGACAAGAUGGAGCAAAAGGAAGGAAAGAAUGUGAUAGCAUCAUUCCGAUCGGAAUUAAUCAACUCUGGACCGCCUACCUCUGGACUUCUUGGUAUGGAGAUAAUGGAAGCAGAAUGCUGACAAACUUUUCCUGAUGAGCAGUUUUCUUAUUUUCUGACAUCAUGACAAUAACUGGUGAGGAAGGAAGAUGCAGUGUGCAGGAAACACAUCAAGGGACUUGAAAGCUGCUUCCACCUGCUUCCGUCUUUACUGGAAAUCCUCAUGAGCCUCAGUGAAGGCUGGAUCCAUUUAAGACUGCCUUUUUUUCCUUUUUUCUGGGCUAUGUGAACUAUGAUUGCAAUUAGAUUGGAGAUCAACAUUGUAAGUGGGUGAGAGCUAAUGGUUACCAGGUAUAAACACUCACAAGAUAGGCUAAAACUAACAGUUUUCAUGUAAUCAGCUCCAUGCAGCAGCCACCUCGGGCUGUAGUUCUGAGUAUGGGACAUCUGGAGCUGCACUUUAAUUGCUGGUUGUAAUAGUUGCACAGCUGUUUGUAACAUUUCUGGCUAUGUUAAUCAUGGCUGCAGUCAUGCUUAUCGGAAAGCUACACUGGAGAGGCCAAUGCAUGAGUAUCGACAGUUGUUGACUUAGAAAGUCACAUCGUAUAUUUCCUUACUGAGCAUCAUACAAAGAAAAAUCAAAAGUGCAAAAAGAAUAAAGUUUAAUAAAAAUCUCAAUUCAUC